rnacentral:lncRNA from 1 species
CAGACUUGCAUGGUAGGCCUGUACUGAGAAGUAAAGCUGAAAUGCCCCCCUGGCCGGUAUGCGAUGCUGCUGUGGGAUUCCAAGCGCAGGAUGAUUAGUGUAACUAGUGGCAACCCUCGGAAUAAUGUUCUAACAGAUGUUAUGUUCUCUUUCAGUUCUGCGCUCUAUGGCACAAGAGCAACUAGGAAGGCUUGGUCCUACUUGCAUGGAAUUUCUGUGCUUUUGCUUGUGUCACUUUCAAGUCGCAUACACAAGAAGCAGAGAGAACAGAGGUUUUUGGAUCAUACAGGGAAAGGGAAAUAACUUGCUAGUAAGUCUUGCACCUUUAUCAUGUGUGGUUUGUAAAUCUGAUAAUUGUGAAAGGAUGAG